UUUUUAUUCGUAGCCAUUGAUUCAUUUGAGCAGCCGAAAAGACUCGCUCUUUUAAUUUUAUUGUCUCAAGGUAG
rnacentral:tRNA from 1 species